rnacentral:rRNA from 1 species
UCUCUCAAUCUCCUGAAGCGCGGGCACAUUCGUUAUGGUGCAGCGAACAGCUUUCCCAAUACUUGAUGCCGGUCAUUAAAGAACGUCGCGUCAAUCCGGGAUCAGAUUUAAUUUCGAUCCUAUGUACUUCUGAAUAUGAAGGCAUGGCGCUGUCGGACAAGGAUAUACUCGCACUGAUUCUUAAUGUGCUGUUAGCCGCAACGGAACCGGCUGAUAAGACGCUGGCACUGAUGAUCUACCAUUUGCUCAACAAUCCUGAGCAGAUGAAUGAUAUUUUGGCUGACCGUUCGUUAGUUCCGAGAGCCAUUGCGGAGACAUUGCGUUAUAAACCGCCGGUUCAGCUGAUUCCGCGGCAGCUGUCCCAAGAUACAGUGGUCGGCGGUAUGGAAAUCAAAAAAGAUACGAUUGUUUUUUGUAUGAUCGGUGCGGCUAACCGGGACCCUGAAGCAUUUGAACAGCCUGACGUGUUUAAUAUUCAUCGGGAAGAUCUUGGUAUCAAGAGCGCUUUUAGCGGCGCCGCCCGGCAUCUCGCUUUCGGAUCCGGCAUUCAUAACUGUGUAGGAGCAGCUUUUGCCAAAAACGAAAUCGAAAUUGUAGCUAAUAUUGUGCUGGAUAAGAUGCGGAAUAUCAGAUUAGAGGAAGAUUUUUGUUAUGCUGAGUCCGGUCUGUAUACACGCGGACCUGUUUCACUUCUCGUUGCGUUUGACGGGGCAUAAUAGAAUUCCAAAGGUCUCUCCCAUGCGGGUGAGACUCUUUUUACAUAUAUUUGAUCCACAAGUUGAAAAACGCAGUCACUGUUUUUAAAUCAUCAAUUGAAAAUUCAUUGAAAAGCUGUUUAUAUUGCUCCUUUGCUUUCUCAUGAAGCUGUUCAUGUAAUGCCGCCAAUUUUCUGCCGCUAUCAGUUAGCGUAUAAAAAAUUUCUUUUUUGUUGCCAGGCUUUUUUGUCACUGUAAUGAUAUUGUGUUUCAACAAAGCAUGAACCGCUUUUGAAACAGCGGCUUUUGAGAUGUGUAAACGGGAUGCUAAGAAGCUGUUGUUCACAUUUUGGCUGGUAUGUAUGCAGGAAACAAUGUGAAGCUGGGUCAAAGUCCAGUCUUUUUUGAGGUGAUCGUGAUGUUGUGAGGAUAUGCCAAUGGAUGGUAUCUGCACCUUUUGCCAGACGCGUUUAUCCCUUUUUAAUGCGAAUUGUUGUAUAGCUUGAAAUAAUUCAUCAUGAAUGCUGUUGUCCAUCAAUUUGCCUCUCUGAUUUAAUUGUUAACUGGUUAACUAUUCUUAGUUUACUGGGUAAUAGUGGAAUUUUCAAGAGACAGACGUUUUUUUUGUUCUUUAUGCACAAAAAUGAACUCAUAAGCUUCCCUGUUCAGACGCAAAAUACAUGAAAAGGGAGGUGCUUUGAUGAGGAAAUACACGGUUAUUGCUUCUAUAUUACUGUCUUUUCUUUCCGUUUUGUCUGGCGGCCAUCAUGAAUCGAAAGCUUUUCCUGUUGUACAGCAGGAACUAUUUCAAACGCCUCAUUACAUACCCUUGCUUGAAAAUCCUCCUCAAAUUGAUGU